rnacentral:rRNA from 1 species
UACGUAGGGUGCAAGCGUUAAUCGGAAUUACUGGGCGUAAAGCGUGCGCAGGCGGUUAUAUAAGACAGUUGUGAAAUCCCCGGGCUCAACCUGGGAACUGCAUCUGUGACUGUAUAGCUAGAGUACGGUAGAGGGGGAUGGAAUUCCGCGUGUAGCAGUGAAAUGCGUAGAUAUGCGGAGGACACCGAUGGCGAAGGCAAUCCCCUGGACCUGUACUGACGCUCAUG